UUUCCGUAGGUGAACCUGCGGAAGGAUCAUUCAUAAUCAAGUGUUUUAUGGCACUUUUUAAAAAUCCAUAUCCACCUUCUGUGCAAUGUUAGAUCUCGUCAAUCUUGGCGAGCUUUUUAUACAUCAACUCAUUUUUUAACUAAUUUGUCUGAAAAAUAUUAUGAAUAAUUAAUUCCAAAUACAACUUUCAACAACGGAUCUCUUGGCUCUC
rnacentral:misc_RNA from 1 species